rnacentral:misc_RNA from 1 species
CUGAAUGGCUUUGGCCUUCAACCUUCAAACCUGUGGAAGCAACCCGUGCUUCGGCGCUCCGGCGCCGCAUUUAUGCGGAUAAGCGUUUGCGUCUGAACAUACAUGAGAAUUA